GAUGAACGCUAGCGGCAGGCUUAAUACAUGCAAGUCGAACGGGAUUCGAGGUAGCAAUACUUUGAUGAGACUGGCGCACGGGUGCGUAACGCGUAUGCAACCUACCUUUCACAGAGGAAUAGCCCAGAGAAAUUUGGAUUAAUACCUCAUAGUAUAACAUGACCGCAUGGUCGAGUUAUUAAAGUCACAACGGUGAAAGAUGGGCAUGCGUCCCAUUAGCUAGUUGGUAAGGUAACGGCUUACCAAGGCAACGAUGGGUAGGGGUCCUGAGAGGGAGAUCCCCCACACUGGUACUGAGACACGGACCAGACUCCUACGGGAGGCAGCAGUGAGGAAUAUUGGACAAUGGGCGCAAGCCUGAUCCAGCCAUGCCGCGUGCAGGAUGAAGCAUCUAUGGUGUGUAAACUGCUUUUUGUACGAGAAGAAACACUGCUUCGUGAAGCAGCUUGACGGUAUCGUAAGAAUAAGGACCGGCUAACU
rnacentral:rRNA from 1 species